UGGACCAAUGAUGAUAUUGUAACCUGAAUCUAGGAUUAUGACAGACCCCAGUUCUGUACAUCUGAGGUCCAA